rnacentral:rRNA from 1 species
AUUGAACGCUGGCGGCAUGCCUUACACAUGCAAGUCGAACGGUAACAGGUCUUCGGAUGCUGACGAGUGGCGAACGGGUGAGUAAUACAUCGGAACGUGCCUAGUAGUGGGGGAUAACUACUCGAAAGAAUGGCUAAUACCGCAUGAGAUCUACGGAUGAAAGCAGGGGAUCGCAAGACCUUGUGCUACUAGAGCGGCCGAUGGCAGAUUAGGUAGUUGGUGGGAUAAAAGCUUACCAAGCCGACGAUCUGUAGCUGGUCUGAAAGGACGAUCAGCCACACUGGGACUGAGACACGGCCCAGACUCCGACGGGAGGCAGCAGUGGGGAAUUUUGGGCAAGGGGCGCAAGCCUGAUCCAGCAAUGCCGCGUGCAGGAUGAAGGCCUUCGGGUUGUAAACUGCUUUUGUACGGAACGAAAAGCCCUGGGUUAAUACCCUGGGGUCAUGACGGUACCGUAAGAAUAAGCACCGGCUAACUACGUGCCAGCCGCCGCCGUAA